GUGGGGAAUAUUGCACAAUGGGCGAAAGCCUGAUGCAGCGACGCCGCGUGAGGGAUGACGGCCUUCGGGUUGUAAACCUCUUUCAGCUCUGACGAAGCUUUAUUGUGACGGUAGGAGCAGAAGAAGCACCGGCUAACUACGUGCCAGCAGCCGCGGUAAUACGUAGGGUGCGAGCGUUGUCCGGAAUUAUUGGGCGUAAAGAGCUUGUAGGCGGCUUGUCGCGUCUGCUGUGAAAUCCCGGGGCUCAACCUCGGGCUUGCAGUGGGUACGGGCAGGCUAGAGUAUGGUAGGGGAGACUGGAAUUCCUGGUGUAGCGGUGGAAUGCGCAGAUAUCAGGAGGAACACCGAUGGCGAAGGCAGGUCUCUGGGCCAUCACUGACGCUGAGAAGCGAAAGCGUGGGGAGCGAACAGGAUUAGAAACCCCAGUAGUCC
rnacentral:rRNA from 1 species